ACGGGAGGCAGCAGUGGGGAAUAUUGCACAAUGGGCGAAAGCCUGAUGCAGCGACGCCGCGUGAGUGAAGAAGUAUCUCGGUAUGUAAAGCUCUAUCAGCAGGGAAGAAAAUGACGGUACCUGACUAAGAAGCCCCGGCUAACUACGUGCCAGCAGCCGCGGUAAUACGUAGGGGGCAAGCGUUAUCCGGAUUUACUGGGUGUAAAGGGAGCGUAGACGGAACGGCAAGUCUGAUGUGAAAGGCUGGGGCUCAACCCCGGGACUGCAUUGGAAACUGUCGGUCUUGAGUGCCGGAGGGGUAAGCGGAAUUCCUAGUGUAGCGGUGAAAUGCGUAGAUAUUAGGAGGAACACCAGUGGCGAAGGCGGCUUACUGGACGGUAACUGACGUUGAGGCUCGAAAGCGUGGGGAGCAAACAGGAUUAGAUACCCUGGUA
rnacentral:rRNA from 1 species